AUUUCGAGAGUCGAAUUCCAAGUACUCCGAUUCUUGAUCCUCGGGUACUAUCUUUUUACUUUUGCCAGAAUGCUCACCACCUAGACAUAAUGCACAAUAAGCCAUUUACUACAUUUGUGCUUAAUUGUGAUAAAACCAAUUCAGGCUUUAUACUAUGUAUGAAAUGGGAUGCAAAUUGUUCAGAUUAUCGUCUAAACAUGGUGCUCUACACAAAUUCAAUUGUGUACUUAAAUAAAAUGGUAUUGGCCUAAUUCGAUCUAUCACUCAAUUAAUUGACCAGUAUGUCUAAUUUAACUCCAAAUAAUUCCAUUUUUCUUCCAAUCCUCCAAAUCAUCAAAUACAAAUUAAAUAACUUGAAUUAUGGCAAAAUCAUCCUCACAUUUUCUCUUGAAAAAUUCGGCCAUGGUGGGUGCAUCAACACUAUGAUUUUUCCUACUUGAUUCUCACACCAUAAAUCACUAAUUCCUAACCAAAUCACUUGAAAUAAAAUCAAAAUCAUCAUCAAUAUUCCAUAUGGAGAAUUCGGCCAAUGAUGGGUGAUGGAAGAAAAUGAAUUUUUCUUGUUGGCUUUUCAUGCUACACAUCACUAACUAACUAAAAACACUAAAAUACAUUGAAAUCUAACUAAAUCAAGCAUCAAAACCUCUCUCUAAGUGUUCAGCCAGCAAGAUACCCAUCAUGAAAUCAUGUGAUUCAACCAUGGAAAAUGCAAAAGAAUGUAUGGGAAAGGUAGAUCACAAGUCAAAAUCAAGAAAUUUUACCUUUGAUUGCCUGAUUACUUGAAAUCCACCAAUUUUCUCUUGAAUUUUCAGCCUAGGGUUCUUGUUCUUUCUUUUCUUCCUUUGUUCUUGUUUUGGCCGGCCAUAAUAAAGAGAAAUGAGCUGAUUUUGUGCUGAUUUUUAAGCCAAAUAAUAAAUGGAUGAAAAUUUGACACAUGUCACCAUUCCAUUGGUCCAUAUGUCAUACUUACCAAUUAAGCAAUCUCUCUCCACCACUUAAAUUUCCUCAAUUAUCCACGAUAAUAUUGGGUAAAAUCCAUGUGCUGGACAAGUUUUGGGUGGUGUAAAAUUACAAUUUUGCCCCUAGGGUGGCAAAAUGACUAUUUUGCCUUUAUGCUCGGAAAAAUGCUGGAAUUAAAAUUUUUCACUUCUCAAACUCUAAUUAUGUUCUAAAUAGUCAAUCUUGAUCAAAAACUUCUUCCAACAUUCCAAGUUUAACCUCGGGUGACAAAAUGACUAUUUUGCCCCUAGGUCAUGAAAAUUUUAAUUUGACUCCAAAUUGGUCCUUGAACUCCGAAUCACCAUUUUAAGUCAUUCUGGGGUUUUUAAAUUCUCAAUUUCAUCUUAAAAUCUCUAUUUGGACUAGUUCGAGGCUUAAUUCAACUUAAUUGUACCAUUUGGUAUAAUACCGUCCUUUAACGUUUUUCGAGGUAUCCAAGUAAGCAAACAUGCAUUCUUAUGUAGGAAUGGCAUAAUAAACAUAUUGUCGAGUUAAGCUUGACACACACCCUCCAAUCAUCAUCAGCUCAUAUGCAACUGCUUAUGCGCACUCCUACUCGCACAUAGCCGAGUCAACAACGGCUUAUGCGCACUCCCACUCGCACAUAGUCGGGUCAGCAACGGCUGAUGCACACUCCUACUCGCACAUAGCCGGGUCAAUAUCAUUACACAACAUUAUUCGUAUAUAUAUAUAUAUCAACAUAAUGUAGUAGUACAACAAUUCAUAACAGCCACAUGUCAUAUAUAGAAACAAUUUAUCAAAGGCUUGUUCCCAAGGCACCAGUUUUGAAGAUAAAACAAAUAAAACACUUUAGGGAUUCAAUCAAACAUACUUGUAUACACAUCCCAAAACCUUUUUAAUGCAAGUUCACUCACCGGGAUUGUUGAACCUUUAAUCGACUCUAACUUCGAUUAUUACUUCAAACGGACAUGUGAGGCCUUGUUGGAACCUAUCACCCACACUAUAACUAUAAAAAAUAUAACAACCCAUAAAUCAAAUUUCUAGCCAUCUCUAACACCUUAAAAUCAAAUUCUAACUCAUUUCUCACCGUGGUGGAUUUUUUUUUCUGUAGUUGAAUUCCUUUUCAAAAGCAUCCAAGCUACUAUGGCAAGUCUCUCUUUCUCUCUCUAAAACUUCCAACUAGUGAGAGAAAGUGUUGAACAAAGACUUUUUGAGGGUUUUAAGGUGUAAAAGUGGAAGAGCAUGAAAAAUCGUAUGAAACAGUGGGCAAAAGCAUGAAAUUUGGAGCUAGAGAAAGAAAGUUAUGAAGUUUUCAUACCAUGCUUCCAUGGAGGGGGAAACAAAUGUGAGAUGAAAGGAGGAAGAAGAAGAAGCUACUGAAAAUUGAAGAAGCUGCUGGAAGGAGAAGAUAUUUAUAGCUCAAACCUAUCCAAUUCCCUUGGAAAUUACGAAAAUGCCUUUAGCAAGUUAACUUGUUCUUCUCCAAUCCUUUGUGCAAUCUUUUUAUUCUUUUGACACUGGGACAAGGUCCACAAUGAUCUAAACUACUCGGGUUUACAAAAACUUAAAAUUUAGAAUCGAGAUGCAAAAUGACUAUUUUACCCCUUGCCAUGGAAAUUAUCAUUAUUUUUAUUUUCCUCUUUUAUUUACCAUCAUAAACAUCAUUUAUUCAUUCCUUAGGCCUAUUUAGACCUUAAUAGCAUAAAAAAACCCACUUGUAGGAGCCUACCAAGAGAAAUUACAAAAUUACCCCUGGUCUGCAUUAUCUCGUCUACUUCUAGUUACGUGUUUCUAGAUGUCGAGAUUUCAUAGGUUCACUUCUGAAUUACCCUUUUUAACUUAAUAAUCAACCUCAAUUUGCAUCUGUAAACUUUAUUAGCCACCGAAUCAAAAUACAAGGUACUAUAGUCUCCCCCACUUAAAAUGAAUUUGUCCUCGAAUUCAAAUCGACGUAAGGUGAAUAAUCAAAGUUCUAAAGUUCUGCCACAUUACUCUCGUCGGGCAUUCUUAACAUAAAAUCUUGGUUUAUGCAUCAGAUCGACUUCCAAUCUUAUAGAAAACUCGACGAUGUCAUAGUAUAAAGUUAUGUGUACUACUCUUGUUGGAUCAAAACAAUAUCAUUCUUUAUCUUAUGAAGAGAAUUCAAAUAUGCUAUUAACUCUGGUCACACCUUAAUCAAAUCAUCCUUAAAUCAUCAAUCAUGCAUGUUUACUUAACCAUCCGUAACUCCUCUACCUUGCUUCUUUAUCAACCCUCCCAAUAUUCAAGCAUCUAUUCCACCAUUGACUAUGGGUCUAAUUUGUCAAUCAAUCUCUAUUCCGUUUUACAUAACUCCAUAGAAAUUCCAUUCAAGCAUUUCAUAAUACAUAAGGAUCAAACACUCUUUAUUUAUUCAUAUAUAUUUAGCAUCAUGGAUGAUUCAAAUCCGAUAACCAUUAGUCAUCAUAUUUCUAAAAACAAACUCCAAUACUUUCAUGAUCGAGUGCUCACUAGAUAAAUCUUAACUUAUACCAUGAAGCUUUUCAAUAAGUCAUGACAUUCACAUACCUCCUAUGAUCUUAGCCAAUCCCUUUAAUCAAUAACUCAACUUCUCAAAGUUAAAGUUGCUCAAAAUUUUCCUUUAAGGUUCUUUUUUAAGUCUCAUCUUGAUUACUGAUCAUUUUUAUAUUUCCAAUGUCAUAGCUAAUUUAUUCAUCAUCAAUCACAUACAACAUAUCUAACUUGAAAUUCCUCAAAUUUACUUCAAAUGCCAAAUCUCACGGCCUCAUUAGUUCAUCCAUCCGAGGAUGAAAUUAGAUACUUGUCUCUCCUUAAGUGUACUUUAAAAUCAAAGAAUCAUCUAUUAAGACCUUUUUUUAAUAUGAACUCCCUUAGCCUUUUUACCUUAGAAAAUUAAAUCUAUAAUCAUUCAUUCUCAAUCAUGGGCUUUAUGCCCAACAAGGCAGAUUUUAAACUUUUAAUUACAUGAAUUCAAAUGCACACCUUUACUCACAAGCUAUAAAUUUUUCCCAAAUCUUUAUAUAUCAAAAUUAUAUAUUGAAGCUAUACCAAAAUUGAUACAUCAUUUCCAUUGCUCUUUAGGUUGUUAAAUUCAUGUCAUACUUCUCUAUUUGUGUACUUCAUAAUAACCUAACAAUUUCUAACUCACAGUUAAGCUAGUUCAUAUGCCAAGCCUCUCAGGCUAUAUCAAAACACCUAGUUUUAUCACGAUAUAAUAGAAUUUAAUGAACUCAUACCUAAAGUAUAAACACUUACUUUUAAGCUAACAACAUUAUAAUCCACUUGUUCACUGCAAAAUUAGCGAUAAAUUGUCUUAAUCAUUGUCUAGCACUAUAACCAUGGAUAGAAUAUCAUCAUCGAAUCAAAUUAUAACUAACUCCAACAUGAGCUUUUAUACCAAUAUCCAACAUUUAUAUCCAUACAUAUAUAUUUCCAAAAAUUUUAACUUCGAAUAGCCUUAGGCAUAUCAAGGCCAAUAAGCCGUCUAUAAAAUCAAAAUAACUAACAAUCAAGUUUAGAAGCAUUUUUUUUCUCUUGGUUGGUUAGAUCAUGCUCCUUAUUUGUGGUGAAUACACAAAGCUGAUUCAAGUAUUCCAUUCUCAUACAAGAGUUAACCACUAAUUGGCACUAUCUUCAAACACCACAUGGUUUAUAAGUCGAUUUUCUUAGUCAAAAUUUAUAUUGUAGUAUUCCAUCUCUAGGUCAUGUUUCAUUACCAAAUCUUUACUCGUAUACGAGUACUUGAAUUCUCAAAUCAUCAUCUCUUUUCUAAGUAGAUUUCUACAAUUUUCGUAGUGCAUUUUUAUUCCCUUAUCAAGGGCAAUAUCAUUUAAUCAAACCAUGUCACCCUCCUUUUCUAAACAUUUGAGCAUAAUUUAACCUUCCACUAUCCCUAUCAGGAACUUUACCUUGAUAGUUACUCAAAAUAAAUUGGAACUUGUGGGAAAGCAAAUUUCAUAAUUUAUGCUUUGCGUCUAUAAUUAUGUCGAGACCAGAACCUCAUCGGGUCCACAAAACGGUAGGAUAAUCAUUACCUCAAACCAGUAUUCCCAAGUACACUUAUGCUUGUAUCAUAUCUUCAUACUUAUGUGACAUGUCAGUCACGAGCCCAACUUGACUGUAUAGCCAUUUGCUCUUUAAGCUUUAAUGUUUGCUCAUUGUGAAAAGUCUUUCGAAUUUAUCUCAUCAGGGUAUUCAUAAGGUGGAUACACGUCCAUAUUUUACAGUUCAAGGCCUAAAGCAUUGAACACAACCUUAUCAUUGAUGUUAUACGCUAUAUUAUAUAAUACAAAAUAUAAUCUAAUAACAAUGACAAUGAAAUUCUAAAGUUCCACCUUUAUCUACCAAUCAUAGCUCCCUUUAUGAGCACGUACUUUACACUGCUUGAUUGUUCACAAGCUACUCAUGGCCAUCCAAAUUCGACCUCUUAUAGCAAGUCAAGUUAAUAUAUUCUCUUAUGCUUUUCCAUACAUUUCCAAAACACUUAAACACUUUCUUUAAUAGGGUUCAUUGAGAACUUAAUCAAUCAAAGGCUUAUCUUCAAAGCCAUUCAUAACUUUAAUCGUUCAUUGUAUGCCCGAUAACACUUUAGCUCACUGACCCCACUGGACAUUAUUUUAAAAUCUCCCAAAGUGUUCGUGUUUUUAGUUCGGAUCAUACCAUUUAACUUAGUAUAAUUACAUUAAUUAUCCUUAAGCUCUUUUUGCUCAGCAUAUCAACAUUCAUAUUUCCCCCUCAUUCAUGUUAUUGACCUUGUUAAGGUAUAUGUGGCUUUUCAACCUUUCAAAACACAUUUCACAUUUAUGCCAGGGCAUUCUCAAUCUCAUGCCAAGCCUAUAGGCAUGUAACCGUAAAUCAGGGUAAACUCCACUAUGGGAUAUCUCCUUCCAUAUGAUGCAUGGGGAUCACAAGAUGUACAAUUCCAAGUGUAUGCCUACAUAUUGAUAACCUCCAUAUAUUUUAUGAUCAUGGAAACCACAAUUUGCAAAACUAGCUUUCUAUCACAAGUUUACGAUCGGAACAUUAGUCUCCAUAUAUCUCACUUUGGACAUACUUCACUACUAACAUUCAUAUACCUUUACCACAACAUUUAGUACAAAUUGAUUAAACAAUGAUCUCCAAAUUUACUCUUAGGUACACAUAUAUCAAAUUAUACACCACUUAGUGUUAAGAUCUUGACUUUACUCAUCAAUUCUUAACCAAUUACAUUCAUAAGAUAAAUAAUUCACUAAAUUUUUGUAUCUUGCUUUUGCAAUCAUAAGAUCAAAAUUUCUUAAGCUUAGGAUGCAAAAGCUUCCUCAUAGAGCAUAUAUGAAAAUCCACAUGUUUUAAGUCCCUUACCUUUGGAGAAGUCACAUUCAAGACUAAUCAUUUACAUCAUAGGUUCCAUAUUGAACCAAACAUAUUUUUAAAUUGACCUUUAAAGUAAUUUAUAUAUCGAUCUUCAUAUAGAACUCCAUAUGGCACUUAGACUAAAUUUGUCAUUUCCAUGUCAUUUAAUUUCAAAUUGCUAAAUCCACAUCUAGUCCUUUAAUCCUUUGGCUCCACACUAAGGAUAGCAAAAUUCAAGCUCAUCCUUAGAGUAGAUCAUUUACUAGCCUUUUACUUCAUGACCAUACGUCAAUUAUAAUAAUCAGCGAUUUUCACCCUUGAGCUAAUUCAUGCAAUUAUAACCAUAAACCACAAUAAUUAAAUUCAAGCCUUGGAAUCUCGUAAUUAAUUAAUUAGAAUCAAAACCAACUCCAUCUAGGCUACUACACAUAUAUUCAGCACAUAUCCGCAUAUAAAAUAUUUUGGAAGUUCGACACCAUUUAUAUAAGGGCAGGGCAAGCUUAAUCAACACAGUGCACUUGCCUCCAUGCACGUGGGAAUCAGUUUACACCUCCCUUAAUACUUAGAUGUACAAGCUUUAAGUGAAUCUCAAUGAUCAUUAUUCGUUCCGUUCAAAGUAUGUCCCUUAUUACCAUUAUUGCACGUGCUCUUUUUAUAUUGACCUCAAAUACCAUCCAUGGUCAUCAAAUUUCUUCCCAUUGACAAUUAUGGGCUUAAGUUAUAACUCCACUGAAUGAAUAAGUUAUUAUGGACCUAUUAGUCCAGCUCCAAUUUCCUCCAUUUUUAAUCGGAGGAAUUUGUUAUUACAUUAGCCUUUCAUUAGGAGCAUUUGCUUAAAAUCUUUCCAACAACAGCUCGUGUCUCGGGUGGCACCUCAAACCCAAACAACAGUACCACUUAUGACCUUUUCAUAAUGUUAGCAAGAUGGUAGGUUACUAGAAAUAGGAGUUUAUAUAGCCUCCUGUUUAUGAAUUGUGCUGCAGUCACAAACCAUAAACAAGACUCUACAUUAACUCUGACAACUCCGCUGACUGACACAAGAAUCCCUAAGACUCGACUAAACCUAGAGCUUUAAUACCACCUUUGUCACAACCCAAAUACCGAGCCAUGAGCGAUGCAUGAGCCCAAUGGGCAUAGCCCACUAAGCCCAAGCAAGCCUAUUUAUGCAAUUUCAAUUAUCAUUCCCAUCCAUAAUCUUUAAACUGAAGUGCUGUAACUCUCAAAAGUAAAUGUUCCAGUAAUAUUUUAUAACAACUGAAUAUUCGUAUUUAUAUUAUAACAAAGUAUUGUCAUCAUCAAUCCAACAUAUACAUAUUUCAUUUAUAACAUGACUCUUAGUCGUUUACAUUACAUAUAUGUCACGACUCGGUACUCCCCGCGAGUCCGUGACAACCGUCGAGAUGUCCCGAUAGACAUUCAUCGACCGUAAUGCCGACCGAAACCUCGAAAGGCUUUUAUAUCAGUUUUUCUCACCUCCCCUGUGAGCGAUAGUUAUUAAAUAUCAUGUUUUGAGAGAUUAUAAACUAUUUCCAAAUCAAAUAAUAGAAAAAUAAUUUUUAUCUCACAAGGGCAUUUUGGUCAUUUUUCCUCGAAAGUCUCGAAACUAGCCAAAAAUGUAGUAUGCAAAUGAAAAACACAUAUUUCAUAAUCAAAAAUAAGUUUAGAUAUCUAAAACAUUCAUUUAAAGUAAAAUUAUAACUAUUUGAAUAUAAUAAAAAUAUUCAAAUAAAUAUUCUAUUUUCUUAUAAAAUAAUAAUUAUAUAACUCUGCAUAAAUAAUUUUUGUAGCGUAAAAGCUAAAUUAAUUCAUACAUACUGUAAUACAGAUAACCAAAGCAUAAGAUUUAAUUUACGUGACACGUGGGCCCACGAACAACUAAAAGUAAUGAAGGCUAUGAACCUACAGUUUUUUAGGAAGCAAGUCCAACUGUAGCCCUCAACGAAAAGAGCUAUUUACCUACUAUCUUGAGCUUGAAAUGGAUGGAAAGGAGGGUGGUGAGAUUAUAUAAUCCCAGUGAGUAAACAAAUACCAUCUAAAAUAUCUAAAGCUGAGUAAAUGGAGACGGAUUAAAAUAGAUCAUCAUACUGUAAUUUAUCACCUUUCAACUCAUUUCAACCAAAUAAAAUCAAUUCAUAUAAAUCGAGUAAUCAACAUGGCUUAUGAAUUUCUUAAAACUUUGGCUCGUGCCAAAAUCAUUCUCAUACUCAGUUAUCAGGGAUACCUUGGCCGAGGGCUAUCCAAACCGAGUCUGCCAAGGUUGAUAAAAAGUUAUGUACGCAUAAAUCAGGUUUUUAUUUUGAAAACAUAGUCGUUCCUUGGCGUUGGCUGAGUUCACCCUCACGUGGUGGUUUGGCGUGAAGUGAACUCNNNNNNNNNNNNNNNNNNNNNNNNNNNNNNNNNNNNNNNNNNNNNNNNNNNNNNNNNNNNNNNNNNNNNNNNNNNNNNNNNNNNNNNNNNNNNNNNNNNNNNNNNNNNNNNNNNNNNNNNNNNNNNNNNNNNNNNNNNNNNNNNNNNNNNNNNNNNNNNAAACAACAGUUUAUACAUUUUCAACACAAAUACCAAUUCAGCCAUUCAUGCCAAUAUUGCCAUAAGCCAAUCAAUUAGAACCAUAAAUUCACAAUACAUCAAAUGGUCUCCAAUUACUCUAUUUUCAAAGCCAUCAUUCAAUUUCAAGACAAUUUAUAAAAUCAUUUCAUUUAAACACAUUUUGUUUAUAAAAUAUAAAGAUUUACCAUUUAAACUCAUUUUCCAUAAAAUCACAAAAUCAGACAAAAAUCACUUUAGAUAAUUAAGAUGAUAGUAAGGUUACUCACUAUUUCGGGAGUCGAAUUUCGAGUACUCCGAUUCUUGAUCCUCGGGUACUAUCUCUUUACUUUUGCCAGAAUGCUCACCACCUAGACAUAAUGUGCAAUAAGCCAUUUACUACAUUUGUGCUAAAUUGUUACAAAACCAACUCAGGCUCUACACUAAUGCAUGAAAUGGGAUGUAAAUUGUUUGGAUUAUCGUCUAAACACGGUGCUCUACACAAAUUCAAUUGUGUACCUAAAUAAAACGGUAUUGGCCUAAUUCGAUCUGUCACUCGAUUAAUUGGCCAAUAUGUCCAAUUUAACUCCAAAUAAUUCCAUUUUUCUCCCAAUACUCCAAAUCAUCAAACAAAAAUUAAAUAACUUGAAAUAUAGCAAAAUCAUUCUCACAUUUUCUCUUGAAAAAUUCGGCCAUGGUGGGUGCAUCAACACUAUAAUUUUUUCUACUUGAUUCUCACACCAUAAAUCACUAAUUCCUAACCAAAUCACUUGAAAUAAAAUCAAAAUCAUCCUUAAUAUUCCACAUGGAGAAUUCGGCCAAUGAUGGGUGAUGGAAGAACAUGAAUUUUUCUUGCUUGAUUUUCAUGCUACACAUCACCAAUCAACUAAAAACACUACAAUAGAUUGAAAUCUAACCAAAUCAAGUAUCAAAACCUCUCUCUAAGUGUUCAGCCAGCAAGAUACCCAUCAUGAAAUCACGUGAUUUAACCAUGGAAAAUGAAAAAGAAUGCAUGGGAAAGGUAGAUCACAAGUCAAAAUCAAGAAAUUUUACCUUUGAUUGGUUGAUUACUUGAAAUCCACCAAAUUUUCUCUUGAAUUUUCACCCUAGGGCUCUUGUUCUUUCUUUUCUUCCUUUGUUCUUGCUUUGGCCAGCCAUAUGAAG
rnacentral:lncRNA from 1 species